rnacentral:rRNA from 1 species
GUACGUAGGGAGCGAGCGUUGUCCGGAUUUACUGGGUGUAAAGGGUGCGUAGGCGGCUCUGCAAGUCAGGUGUGAAAACCAUCGGCUUAACUGAUGGACUGCAUUUGACACUGUGGGGCUUGCGUGGAGUAGAGGCAGACGGAAUUCCCGGUGUAGCGGUGGAAUGCGUAGAGAUCGGGAAGAACACCAGUGGCGAAGGCGGUCUGCUGGGCUCUAACUGACGCUGAGGCACGAAAGCAUGGGUAGCAAACAGGAGGAGAGACCCUGGUAGUCCAUGCCGUAAACGAUGAUUACUAGGUGUGGGGAGUCUGACCCUCGCCGUGCCGGAGUUAACACAAUAAGUAAUCCACCGGGGAAGUACGACCGCAAGGUUGAA